ACGAACGCUGGCGGCAUGCCUAACACAUGCAAGUCGAACGAGACCUUCGGGUCUAGUGGCGCACGGGUGCGUAACGCGUGGGAACCUGCCCUUAGGUUCGGAAUAACUCCCCGAAAGGGGUGCUAAUACCGGAUAAUGUCUUCGGACCAAAGAUUUAUCGCCUUUGGAUGGGCCCGCGUUGGAUUAGCUAGUUGGUAGGGUAAAAGCCUACCAAGGCGACGAUCCAUAGCUGGUCUGAGAGGAUGAUCAGCCACACUGGGACUGAGACACGGCUCAGACUCCUACGGGAGGCAGCAGUGGGGAAUAUUGGACAAUGGGCGAAAGCCUGAUCCAGCAAUGCCGCGUGAGUGAUGAAGGCCUUAGGGUUGUAAAGCUCUUUUACCCGGGAUGAUAAUGACAGUACCGGGAGAAUAAGCUCCGGCUAACUCCGUG
rnacentral:rRNA from 1 species